rnacentral:sRNA from 1 species
GACCGCUCCUUUUGGAGCCAAGGCCACACGGACAGCCGGGUCGAAUGCCGA